rnacentral:rRNA from 1 species
CAGUCGCCGCGGGAAUACGUAGGUGGCAAGCGUUGUCCGGAAUUAUUGGGCGUAAAGGGCUCGCAGGCGGUUUCUUAAGUCCGAUGUGAAAGCCCCCGGCUCAACCGGGGAGGGUCAUUGGAAACUGGGAAACUUGAGUGCAGAAGAGGAGAGUGGAAUUCCACGUGUAGCGGUGAAAUGCGUAGAGAUGUGGAGGAACACCAGUGGCGAAGGCGACUCUGGUCUGUAACUGACGCUGAGGAGCGAAAGCGUGGGGAGCGAACAGGAUUAGAUACCCGCGUAGUCCCUGUCUCUUAUACAC